GUGCCAGCAGCCGCGGUAAUACGGAAGGUCCGAGCGUUAUCCGGAUUUAUUGGGUUUAAAGGGUGCGUAGGCGGGGAAGCAAGUCGGCCGUAAAAUUGUUGAGCUCAACUCAAUCCCGCGGUUGAAACUGCCUCCCUUGAGUACACUAGAGGGCGAUGGAAUUCGUGGUGUAGCGGUGAAAUGCAUAGAUAUCACGAAGAACUCCGAUUGCGUAGGCAGUCGCCUGGGGUGCCACUGACGCUGAGGCACGAAGGUGCGGGUAUCAAACAGGAUUAGAUACCCUGGUAGUCCGCACAGUAAACUAUGGAUGCUCGCGGUGCGCCUGUAGAGGUACGCCGCCAAGGGAAACCGUUAAGCAUCCCACCUGGGGAGUACGCCGGCAACGGUGAAACUCAAAGGAAUUGACGGGGGCCCGCACAAGCGGAGGAACAUGUGGUUUAAUUCGAUGAUACGCGAGGAACCUUACCCGGGCUUGAAAUGUACUCGACAGGACCCAGAGACGGGUCCCUCCUUCGGGCGAGUAUGUAGGUGCUGCAUGGUUGUCGUCAGCUCGUGCCGUGAGGUGUCGGCUUAAGUGCCAUAACGAGCGCAACCCUUCCCGCCGGUUACCAUCAUUCAGUUGGGGACUCCGGCGGCACUGCCAUCGCAAGAUGUGAGGAAGGCGGGGAUGACGUCAAAUCAGCACGGCCCUUACGUCCGGGGCCACACACGUGUUACAAUGGGGGGCACAGAGAGCUGGAUGCCGGCGACGGCAUUCGAAUCAUUAAAUCCCCUCCCAGUUCGGACUGGAGUCUGCAACCCGACUCCACGAAGCUGGAUUCGCUAGUAAUCGCGCAUCAGCCAUGGCGCGGUGAAUACGUUCCCGGGCCUUGUACACACCGCCCGU
rnacentral:rRNA from 1 species